rnacentral:rRNA from 1 species
CCUACGGGGGGCAGCAGUAAGGAAUAUUGGUCAAUGGACGCAAGUCUGAACCAGCCAUGCCGCGUGGAGGAUGAAGGUCCUCUGGAUUGUAAACUUCUUUUAUUGGGGAAGAAACUCCCGAUUUCCAUCGGGAUUGACGGUACCAGAUGAAUAAGCACCGGCUAACUCCGUGCCAGCAGCCGCGGUAAUACGGAGGGUGCAAGCGUAAUGCGGAUUCACGGGGCGUAGGGGGGCAGGAGGGGGGCAGGUAAACUCUCCGGGCUUACCCCGGGAACUGCCAUUGAUACUAUUUGUCUUGAAUACUCUGGAGGUGAGCGGAAUAUGUCAUGUAGCGGUGAAAUGCUUAGAUAUGACAUAGAACACCCAUUGCGAAGGCAGCUCACUACGGAAAUAUUGACGCUGAGGCACGAAAGCGUGGGGAUCAAACAGGAUUAGAUACCCGAGUAGUC